rnacentral:rRNA from 1 species
UACGUAGGUGGCAAGCGUUAUCCGGAAUUAUUGGGCGUAAAGCGCGCGUAGGCGGUUUUUUAAGUCUGAUGUGAAAGCCCACGGCUCAACCGUGGAGGGUCAUUGGAAACUGGAAAACUUGAGUGCAGAAGAGGGAAGUGGAAUUCCAUGUGUAGCGGUGAAAUGCGUAGAUAUAUGGAGGAACACCAGUGGCGAAGGCGACUCUCUGGUCUGUAACUGACGCUGAGGCCCGAGAGCGUGGGGAGCAAACAGG